rnacentral:rRNA from 1 species
CCGCCGGCGACCGGCGCACGGGUGAGUAACACGUAUGCAACCUGGCCGUGACAGAUGGAUAACCGGGAGAAAUCCCGCCUAAUACAACAUAAUGCCGGGAGGGGGACAUCCCUUGCCGGCCAAAGGGGGCGACCCCGGUCACGGAUGGGCAUGCGGCGCAUUAGGUAGUUGGUGGGGCAACGGCCCACCAAGCCGACGAUGCGUAGGGGUUCUGAGAGGAAGGUCCCCCACAUUGGAACUGAGACACGGUCCAAACUCCUACGGGAGGCAGCAG